AUAGCCACCCUUCUAGAUUAUUCGUUAUCACCGCUUUUCCACACUAAAGUAAUCCAUAUAUAUGUUAUCUUCUUUAACUAAUAUAGAACAGAGGCUUGGGUAUUUUCAAAGACAUUUGCCAGCCUCUGUCUUGUCCUCUGGGCAAUGAAAUAUAUGGCAUCUGAGGUUUAGUUCUACUCAAAUCAAUAAAAAUAUGGGUUUACCUAAGCCACUGCUUCUUCUGCUGUUGCUUACAACAAUUGUUUCUACAUCACAGAAACCAAUAGUUACAGAAGCAAGGCCACUUUCCCAACAAAGAUUUUCAGAGAUUUUCUCGACACUUGGAGUUGCUUGCAAGUGUUGUGAUGGCGAAAAGGGUGAAUGCACGAGUACAUGGACAGGGUCUUGCUCUAAGCUCCAAUGCCUUCCCUGGAAAUUAAACUAGCUUGUUUUACACUGUAAUUUUUGUUUUUUGGGGACGUUGUUGCACAUAGUUCAGUGUUCUGUUUACCAACUAUAUCUAUAUGAUAUGCGUUAAUCGAAUUGGGUUAUUUUA